UAGGGAAUCUUCCACAAUGGGCGAAAGCCUGAUGGAGCAGCGCCGCGUGUGUGAUGAAGGGUUUCGGCUCGUAAAACACUGUUGUAAGAGAAGAAUGACAUUGAGAGUAACUGUUCAAUGUGUGACGGUAUCUUACCAGAAAGGAACGGCUAAAUACGUGCCA
rnacentral:rRNA from 1 species